rnacentral:rRNA from 1 species
AUUGAACGCUGGCGGCAGGCCUAACACAUGCAAGUCGAGCGGAUGAAGGGAGCUUUCUCCUGGAUUCAGCGGCGGACGGGUGAGUAAUGCCUAGGAAUCUGCCUGGUAGUGGGGGAUAACGUCCGGAAACGGGCGCCAAUACCGCAUACGUCCUGAGGGAGAAAGUGGGGGAUCUUCGGACCUCACGCUAUCAGAUGAUCCUAGGUCGGAUUAGCUAGUUGGUGGGGUAAAGGCCUACCAAGGCGACGAUCCGUAACUGGUCUGAGAGGAUGAUCAGUCACACUGGAACUGAGACACGGUCCAGACUCCUACGGGAGGCAGCAGUGGGGAAUAUUGGACAAUGGGCGAAAGCCUGAUCCAGCCAUGCCGCGUGUGUGAAGAAGGUCUUCGGAUUGUAAAGCACUUUAAGUUGGGAGGAAGGGCAGUAAGUUAAUACCUUGCUGUUUUGACGUUACCAACAGAAUAAGCACCGGCUAACUUCGUG